UACGAAGGGGGCUAGCGUUGCUCGGAAUCACUGGGCGUAAAGCGCACGUAGGCGGCUUGUUAAGUCAGGGGUGAAAUCCUGGAGCUCAACUCCAGAACUGCCUUUGAUACUGGCGAGCUUGAGUCCGGGAGAGGUGAGUGGAACUGCGAGUGUAGAGGUGAAAUUCGUAGAUAUUCGGAAGAACACCAGUGGCGAAGGCGGCUCACUGGUCCGGUACUGACGCUGAGGUGCGAAAGCGUGGGGAGCAAACAGG
rnacentral:rRNA from 1 species